GCGAGCGCAGCUGCACGCGCAAGGAGGCCCACAGCGUCCCGGGCCCCUCCUCCCCCGCCGCCGCCGGGGCACACCGCACCUGAACCCCACUCCCUAGGACGCCCCAUUGUUCUCCCUCCGCUUUCCUGCCCGGAGGAAGCCACACCGUGUCUUUCCAGGGGGCCAGGAAACAGCUGUGGGCCAGAGGAAUGGAGGGGCUGUGGGUGAACACGAGGACAGCCGAGAUUCGACUCUGCCCACAGACCAGCAAAGCCAAGGACAGAGAGAUCUUCAGGGAAUACAUGGCUAUGGUGGUUUGAAGACUCCCAUUAGAGAGUGGAUAUUAAUUGCCCUCCUUUUGAAUACGGUCUGGACUUAGUGAUUUGAUCGUAACAAAUAGAAUACAGCAGAUGUGAUGCUAUGUGACUUCCAAACUAGGUCAUAAAAGGAGGUAAAGUUUUCACCUGGCUCUCCCUUGGGACACUCACCCUUGGAACCCAGCUGCCAUAUUGUGAGGAAGCUCAAGCCACAGGGAAGGCCAUGUGUAAGGUGUUUGGGCUGAUGGUGCUGGCUGAGGACCCAGUCUACUGCCAGUACAACUUACACCAGGCAUGUGAGUUGGCGAGCUUUUGAAAGAACUCCAGCCACAGUCACUGACUGACCACGCCGCCUGAGAGACCUGGAGAGAAAACCUAGCUGAGCCAAGUCAGGCCCCGGAAACAAUGUAAAGCAUGGAAGAAAUGCUUCAGUUUUUAUACAACUUUUUAUUUUGGCAUGCAACAAUCAGUACUUCAACUUAAAGGAAUGAGGAAGAUGGCGAUUUCAGACAUUUUGGCUCAAGGAAGACUGCUUCCUUCCCCAUCUACUGAAGUUAGGUGUGGGCAUAUGAUUUUUUUCAUGUCAAUAAAAUGUGAGUGGAAGUGACAGGGAUCACUUCCAGGUGAAACAUUUAAAAACUAGUGAGAGAUUCUCCAUGAUCAUUUUCCCUUCUGCCACCAUGAUCAACAGUAUUCCAAAUGAUGGUGCAUUCACCACUCUGGGUCCUGGAGUGAGGAUGAUAUGCAGUGGGAGUUAGCUAACUACAGCCUGUGGUCACCUGUUUUUGUAAAUAAAGCUUCAUUGGAACAUA